GACGUAGGAGGCGAGCGUUGUCCGGAUUCAUUGGGCGUAAAGAGCGCGCAGGCGGUUUGGUAAGUCGGAUGUGAAAUCCCGGAGCUCAACUCCGGACCUGCAUCCGAUACUGCCCGACUAGAGGUAGGUAGGGGAGAUCGGAAUUCCUGGUGUAGCGGUGAAAUGCGCAGAUAUCAGGAGGAACACCGGUGGCGAAGGCGGAUCUCUGGGCCUUACCUGACGCUCAGGCGCGAAAGCUAGGGGAGCGAACAGG
rnacentral:rRNA from 1 species